rnacentral:rRNA from 1 species
AUUGAACGCUGGCGGCAUGCCUUACACAUGCAAGUCGAACGGUAACAGGUCUUCGGAUGCUGACGAGUGGCGAACGGGUGAGUAAUACAUCGGAACGUGCCCGAUCGUGGGGGAUAACGAAGCGAAAGCUUUACUAAUACCGCAUACGAUCUACGGAUGAAAGCAGGGGACCGCAAGGCCUUGCGCGAACGGAGCGGCCGAUGGCAGAUUAGGUAGUUGGUGGGAUAAAAGCUUACCAAGCCGACGAUCUGUAGCUGGUCUGAGAGGACGACCAGCCACACUGGGACUGAGACACGGCCCAGACUCCUACGGGAGGCAGCAGUGGGGAAUUUUGGACAAUGGGCGAAAGCCUGAUCCAGCCAUGCCGCGUGCAGGAUGAAGGCCUUAGGGUUGUAAACUGCUUUUGUACGGAACGAAAAGACUCUGGUUAAUACCUGGGGUCCAUGACGGUACCGUAAGAAUAAGCACCGGCUAACUACGUGCCAGCCGCCGCGGUAAAAC